GAAUUUAAUAUAUUUAAAUGAAUUUAUGAUAUUUAUAUAAAUAUAUUUUAUUGGGAGGAUAAUUAAAUUUUGUAAACUUUAGAAGUAUAUAUAAAUAUUUACAUAAAUUAAUGGAAUUAAAGAAUAAUUUGAUUUUUUUUUAAAUUAUUUAAAAAUUAAUUACCUUAGGGAUAACAGCGUGAUAUUAUUAAAGAGAUCAUAUUGAUAUUAAUGUUUGC
rnacentral:rRNA from 1 species